UUUAAGUUUUUGUCCUGCCUGUUAUUUGAGCUUUUAUGUAGCAUCUGCAAUGCUACGUUUCAAGCUUCUUUUCAGUUCGUUCAAUUAGUUGAGCUUUCUGUCAAGUUAUAUUUCUUACUACUUUGGUUACCUAAAGAUUUAUCAGCUCAGUAUCGUGUCAUUUUACCAUCAGAUAGGGAGGGUCUAGUGUUCUUCAUUUUUUUGGUCAUUAGGGAAAAAAAUGCUUGUUUCCUAGUUAAUUAUACAUUCAUUAGAUAUUCCUUCAUUGUUCCUUAAUGAAUUACUCUAAUUAAUAUUUCUAAAUUUCUUUGCAUUUUUUGUGAGUUGAGAUUUCCCAGCCACUACCAGUUUAAUUUGUGUAGCCUGUGGUGACUCUAUUGCUUGAAAGUAGUGGUGCCACGUACUCCACCAUCAUUUUGUGUCUAGGUUUUAUGGGGACUGCUGUCUCUUCUUGUCCUUACUUAAUACAUAAGCUUGAUUUUGUUAAUCUUUGCUCCUUCAGGAUUUUUUUGUGCCAUUAGUUGCUCUGGGUGCUAAUUUGCCUGUUUCUCCAUAGGAGUGGAUGAUGAGUUUUGUUUGACAUUUAAAGAUCUUUCUUUUAAAGAACAUUGAUAUGACAUAUAGUUCCUAAUAAAACCACCAACACUGACAAUAUGUUCUUUGACAAAACCAAAGUCUUCACACUUUUUGCCAUAAAUUCUGGGGAGUUUAUUUUUGUCCUACCAUUAUCAUUCUUAAAGUAUUAAAUGAUCACUAGUUCCAGAAGCCAGAUAAAUCAGGUGAACAGUUUGUUCGAAUUCGUGUAGUUUGUUAGUUUCACUGGAGCAGAUGCUGAAUUGCUUAUUGUCUUGCACUUGUGCGGUUUUGUUGCUUUCUGGUUUGACUGUUUGUCAGAUUGGCAUGCCAUGCUCCUUCAUAUUGCAUUAUUUCAAAUUGAUGAUUUACUUGGGCUUGACUUUCAAAUUAACAUUUUGGUGUAACUUCCAAUGUGAAUAAGUUGGUAGCCUGAAUUUUGCCAUGUUUUUUUCCCUUUUUUUGUGAAAAGGUUAUAACGUUCUUGAUGUAAACCUUUUUCUUAAGAGAAUAAUGCUAUGCUGCUUCAUGAUA